AAUCGAAGCACUAACCCAUCGUUAUAUAAGAUCUACUCGUCGAGAAAAACAGAGAGUGUACUUUGUGUUGUAAAGAACAGUGGAAGUAAGAUAAAACACUUGUUCAGUUUCAAGUUUUAGGGGUGUGGUUUGGGAAUCGAUUCAAACACUUCAAGUCCUCUGCUGCGCCUGAGUCCGAAAGAUUUCACAAAGCUCUCCUUUUAGUGUGAAGUCGUCUCCUUUGCUCGUGUGUUCUCGGUCGCUGCCCUUGAGAAG
rnacentral:misc_RNA from 1 species